rnacentral:rRNA from 1 species
AGAGUUUGAUCAUGGCUCAGGACGAACGCUGGCGGCGUGCUUAACACAUGCAAGUCCACGAGAAAGUCCGGUUUCGGCUGGACGAGUAAAGUGGCGAACGGGUGAGUAACACGUAGGUAACCUGCCCCUGGAUUUGGGAUAACUUCGCGAAAGCGGAGCUAAUACCGAAUAAUGCAGCGGACCCGCAUGGGUAUUGUUGUUAAAGUGGGCUUCGGCUCAUGUCUGGGGAUGGACCUGCGCCCCAUUAGCUAGUUGGUGAGGUAGUGGCUCACCAAGGCGACGAUGGGUAGCCGGCCUGAGAGGGUGUCCGGCCACACUGGGACUGAGAUACGGCCCAGACUCCUACGGGAGGCAGCAGUGAGGAAUAUUGGGCAAUGGGCGAAAGCCUGACCCAGCAACGCCGCGUGAGGGAUGAAGCUCUAAGGAGCGUAAACCUCUGUUAGGAGGGACGAACAACCAUGAGGUAAAUAAUCUCAUGGCCUGACGGUACCUCCAGAGAAAGCCCCGGCUAACUCCGUGCCAGCAGCCGCGGUAAUACGGGGGGGGCAAGCGUUGUCCGGAAUUAUUGGGCGUAAAGGGCGAGUAGGCGGGAUGGUAAGUUAGAAGUGAAAGUUCGAGGCUUAACUUCGAAAUUGCUUCUAGUACUGCUAUCCUUGAGUGCGAGAGAGGAAGGCGGAAUUCCCGGUGUAGCGGUGAAAUGCGUAGAUAUCGGGAAGAACACCGGUGGCGAAGGCGGCUUUCUGGCUCGCAACUGACGCUGAAUCGCGAAAGCGUGGGGAGCAAACAGGAUUAGA